UAUGGGGUGGUCGAUAAAAGUCGGUAGAUUGUAAAUCUAUGAAUGAGUUAUAUUACUCUCUCAUAA
rnacentral:tRNA from 1 species